GCAUAACUGUGGGAGAAUAGUAAGCAUUGGACACAAAAUGGAAAAGCUGACCUUCUGGUACGGAAGAGCAUGAGCAGUGAGUGAGCAGUGCCCAUGCGUUGUGAGGCGGCCUCCAUGGUAUAAGGAAGGAGUGAAAAACAAAUAAUUACUCUGUUUAGGCAAAUAAUGAUGAACAAAAAUGGUCAGUCUGUGUUCCUGCUGACCCAGCACAGUGGGGACGCUGUGUAGGACAUGACCUUUGGGGGAAAGGACACAAGAACUCAGCGUGGGGGAUCCAGAAAAGAAGUCGCACGUAUUGAAGCCAGUAACGCCAAGCCAGUGAAUUCUCCUUGACGAGAAAGACCCACUUACUCUGCAGAAGAGAUAUAUGACAGCUGACAAUCCCUGGAGGAGAAUCUUUCUACUAAAUUGGUAAGGGAUGCUAAGCAAAUGAUGUGGACUCAGGAAACAACGCAUUUCAUGAUAUACGGUUGCCUCUCAAGGUGAAUUCGAGACCCCUCUUGAAUUACAAAGAGGUGAAAACAUUCAAGUACGGAAUAAACUAUUACUGCGAAUACGCUCAUAUGACACAAGAACAAUCUCUGAGCUUCUUUGAGGAUGUCCAGAUGACUGCUGACUGCACUAAUUGCAUCAAUCGUGUAUCCAUACAGGUUCUUUCUAUAAAAUAGUGGUCGCUAGUUAUGAGGCGUUAAGCCUUCAUGGAUAUAAACAGACUAUUCCACCUAAGUGAUCUGGCAGAAGCUUAGUUUUCUACCACAACAUCCACCGUCCUCCCUCCCUCCCUUCCUAGCUGGUCAGAAAAGCUACUCAGAAUAAAGACUACAUUUCCCAGCCAUCUUUGCAGCUAGGUUUAUCCACCUGACUAAAUUCCACCGGCCUGCCACAAGAAUACGAAGGCCAGAGCUCCAGCAGCUGUUGGAGCCACGAUGUGACCCUGAAGGCAGGAAACUCAGCUUUGGAAGGCAGGACCUUGCUCUGUCACCCAGGCUGUAGUGCAAUGGUGUGAUCUCAGCUUACUGCAGCCUCAACCUCCUGGGCUCAAGUGAUCCUACCACAGCUUCCUGAGUAGCUGGGACUACAGGAACUCCAGGUUGAAGAACUUCUACUUAUAGGCAUCUAUUCAACGAAGACGAAUCCUGGAAUGGGGAUGGAAAUGAUGGCUCAUGUCUUAGCAAACUACCAGUACGUCUACUAGAACCGGGACUGAUCCGAGAGGACAGGGAAGUCAGUGUGGGCGGCUCUAAGGAGCCUCCCUCUCUACAGCUGCGGCUCAGAGGAUUACGGCGCUUCAUCCACAAGGCAACAUUGCACAAGUAGCUUUUGAACAAAAGUCAUGGAUACUAUUAAUGAUAUGGUAAUCCUUAAUCGAGCUACCUCCCAGUAGUGAUUAUACUGACAUGGGAAGAAUAUCUAAGUCGUGGAGGCAGCCCACAACAACACUGUGUCAUUGUUCACCCCGGGCUCGACCAGGACUAACUUUUACCAGCAUCUCUAACGUCACCUUUCCCCUGAUGCCUCCCCACAACCCCUGGCCCCAGCUCCCAUUCCCGCCCCAUCAUAGCAAAAAAGUAGCAAAGAAAACCCUGAUCCUAAAUCUUUUUCUGGAUUUUUUUUUGCAAGUUCCCACACACAUUUAGUGUCGUCUCAAAAUUCACGCUGUCAACUGUCUCUAGGAAUCAUUUCCAUCUGAGAACAGACCACACAAAGGCACAGUGAAACUCAGUUUCUGCAGAAUUUGAUUUCAUUUGAGUUACUGGGGAACAAAGCAAUUAGACAAUGAAUAAUAGCUCAAGACAGGCUGAAGCUGAAGAUUUCUGCAAAAGAAUGAAGAGGAAACGUUUUGAUCCUGAGCAGAUGUUCUCCCUAGAUUGCUUCACCUGAGGUUGAUUGACUUUUGGAAACGAGAUUUGUUCCCAGGAGGCACUCUGGGAAGGCAACCUAGGAAGGGUGGGGCCCUGGGGCCUUUUGAGGAGCUAAGUGGCCAAGGAGAGGUUCUAGGUGUUAACGAUCCCCCCCGCCCCGCCCCUACUGACUUCCUCAUCCUAGCCUUUUACUUCUUUUCUGCCUGGCCUCUGAUUUUACAAUAUACUAUGGGGAGAAAUGUCUCUGAAGUUUUACUUCAGCCUGAAAUGUAUAAGACAAGCCCUCAAGAGUUUCCAAAAUCAUAAAUACGUGGCUUUGUGAGUCUCUUGUUGGAAGGACUGUCUUUAAAUUAAAGCAAUUAGAGUUACUUUAUAAGAUUUACCCAAAUAUAAGAGCUGAAGAGAAUAAUUCAAAUUGAUCAGAAGAAAAUACUCAAUUACUGACAAAUGUCAAUUACAUCAAUAGGCUAGGCUGCUCUUGAACUCCUGGGCUCAAACGAUCCUCCCCUGUCGGCCUCCCAAAGUGCUGGGAUUACAAGCUUGAACCACCAUGCCCAGCCUCAGAAAUUUUUUAAAUGACAGCUCAUACAGUUUUCUUUUAUAAAGGAGGAGAAAAUGUGUAAUUGUAAGCAGCUGAACUAAAAUAUCUCUGUGACAUUUUGCUGGUGACUCCAGCCCUGUGAGAUCUGAGUGGCUCAGGAAUCAAAUUCUCCCACAAACCUGAGGAAGCCUUUUAUUCUUAAUGCCAACAGGAUGCCCCAUGCCCAGAAUGUCAAAUCUGAACACCAAUGGAAUGCAUUUUAUAAACAAAUUGAAAAAGGACAAUCUUUAACAGAAUUGUUGUUCUCUAGGCAGAUUAGUUGUGCUUCAAAUACAAAAUGAAAUAUUAGAGAACAAAAUUAUUUUUAAACAGCUAAUACUAGUAGAAAAUAAAAGGCUGAAAAGUGCU
rnacentral:lncRNA from 1 species